AUACUUACCUGGCAGGGGAGAUACCAUGAUCAUGAAGGUGGUUUCCCCAGGGCAAGGCUUAUCCAUUGCACUCCGGAUGUGCUGACCCCUGCGAUUUCCCCAAAUGUGGGAAACUCGACUGCAUAAUUUGUGGUAGUGGGGAACUGCGUUCGCGCUCUCCCCUA
rnacentral:snRNA from 1 species